GAUGAAGAACGCAGUGAAAUGCGAUAAGUAAUGUGAAUUGCAGAAUUCAGUGAAUCAUCGAAUCUUUGAACGCACCUUGCGCUCCUUGGUAUUCCGAGGAGCAUGCCUGUUUGAGUGUCAUGAAACUCUCACCCUCUAGCUUUCUUAAUCGUGGCUAGCGGCGUGGACGUGAGCGCUGCUGCUUUAUUGCGGCUCGCUCGAAAUGUAUUAGCAGACCCUUUUCGUAAUCGGUUCCACUCAACGUGAUAAGUAUUUCGUUGAGGACAGUUGCAGCAAUGCGGCUGGCCGGGAUAAGAAAGGUAUAGUUGUCAGCUUCUAAUCGCCCUUGGGCAAUUUUUUAUGAUCUGGCCUCAAAUCAGGUAGGACUACCCGCUGAACUUAAGCAUAUCAAUAAGCGGAGGA
rnacentral:misc_RNA from 1 species